AUUGAACGCUGGCGACAUGCCUUACACAUGCAAGUCGAACGGCAGCACGGGUGCUUGCCCCUGGUGGCGAGUGGCGAACGGGUGAGUAAUACAUCGGAACAUGUCCUGUAGUGGGGGAUAGCCCGGCGAAAGCCGGAUUAAUACCGCAUACGAUCUACGGAUGAAAGCGGGGGACCUUCGGGCCUCGCGCUAUAGGGUUGGCCGAUGGCUGAUUAGCUAGUUGGUGGGGUAAAGGCCUACCAAGGCGACGAUCAGUAGCUGGUCUGAGAGGACGACCAGCCACACUGGGACUGAGACACGGCCCAGACUCCUACGGGAGGCAGCAGUGGGGAAUUUUGGACAAUGGGCGAAAGCCUGAUCCUGCAAUGCCGCGUGUGUGAAGAAGGCCUUCGGGUUGUAAAGCACUUUUGUCCGGAAAGAAAUCCUUGGCCCUAAUACGGUCGGGGGAUGACGGUACCGGAAGAAUAAGCACCGGCUAACUACGUG
rnacentral:rRNA from 1 species